CAUCUCUUCAAACCUCCCAGGCGGCCGAGCCUCUGCAACACUCCCAAGUUUUGCCGACGGACAGGACCCCACCAGUGUCGAUCGAAUUUUUUGCGACGUCCGGACUCCUACGGGAGCCGGACCUCGUCCCCAACUCCGACUGCAGGAAGACUUCGUCCAGACUCCUACGAGAGCCGGACUUCGCCCCCGACUUCAACCGCCAGCAGACUUCGUCCGGACUCCU
rnacentral:lncRNA from 1 species